rnacentral:rRNA from 1 species
UACGGAAGGCAGCAGUGGGGAAUAUUGCACAAUGGGCGCAAGCCUGAUGCAGCCAUGCCGCGUGUAUGAAGAAGGCCUUCGGGUUGUAAAGUACUUUCAGCGGGGAGGAAGGCGAUGCGGUUAAUAACCGCGUCGAUUGACGUUACCCGCAGAAGAAGCACCGGCUAACUCCGUGCCAGCAGCCGCGGUAAUACGGAGGGUGCAAGCGUUAAUCGGAAUUACUGGGCGUAAAGCGCACGCAGGCGGUCUGUUAAGUCAGAUGUGAAAUCCCCGGGCUUAACCUGGGAACUGCAUUUUGAAACUGGCAGGCUUGAGUCUUGUAGAGGGGGUAGAAUUCCAGGUGUAGCGGUGAAAUGCGUAGAGAUCUGGAGGAAUACCGGUGGCGAAGGCGGCCCCUGGGACAAAGCUGACGCUCAGGUGCGAAAGCGUGGGGAGCAAACGAGGGAUUAGGAUACC